AUUGAACGCUGGCGGCAUGCUUUACACAUGCCAGUCGAACGGCAGCGCGGGCUUCGGCCUGGCGGCGAGUGGCGAACGGGUGAGUAAUACAUCGGAACGUGCCCAGUAGUGGGGGAUAGCUCGGCGAAAGCCGGAUUAAUACCGCAUACGACCUGAGGGUGAAAGCGGGGGAUCUUCGGACCUCGCGCUAUUGGAGCGGCCGAUGGCAGAUUAGCUAGUUGGUGGGGUAAAGGCCUACCAAGGCGACGAUCUGUAGCUGGUCUGAGAGGACGACCAGCCACACUGGGACUGAGACACGGCCCAGACUCCUACGGGAGACAGCAGUGGGGAAUUUUGGACAAUGGGCGAAAGCCUGAUCCAGCAAUGCCGCGUGUGUGAUGAAGGCCUUCGGGUUGUAAAGCACUUUUGGCGGGAACGAAAAGGACUGUGCCAAUACCACGGUUCGAUGACGGUACCCGCAGAAUAAGCACCGGCGAACUACGU
rnacentral:rRNA from 1 species